GCCGGGCGUGGCAGCGCACGCCUGUAGUCCCAGCUACUCGGGAGGCUGAGGCAGGAGAAUUGCUUGAACCCAGGAAGUAGAGGCUGCAGUGAGCCAAGACACGCCACUGCAUUCUAGUCUGGGUGACAGAGUGAGACUCCGUCUCAA
rnacentral:sRNA from 1 species